UGGGGAAUAUUGCACAAUGGGCGCAAGCCUGAUGCAGCCAUGCCGCGUGUAUGAAGAAGGCCUUCGGGUUGUAAAGUACUUUCAGCGAGGAGGAAGGCGUUGUGGUUAAUAACCGCAACGAUUGACGUUACUCGCAGAAGAAGCACCGGCUAACUCCGUGCCAGCAGCCGCGGUAAUACGGAGGGUGCAAGCGUUAAUCGGAAUUACUGGGCGUAAAGCGCACGCAGGCGGUCUGUCAAGUCGGAUGUGAAAUCCCCGGGCUCAACCUGGGAACUGCAUCCGAAACUGGCAGGCUAGAGGCUUGUAGAGGGGGGUAGAAUUCCAGGUGUAGCGGUGAAAUGCGUAGAGAUCUGGAGGAAUACCGGUGGCGAAGGCGGCCCCCUGGACAAAGACUGACGCUCAGGUGCGAAAGCGUGGGGAGCAAACA
rnacentral:rRNA from 1 species